AGAAUAAGACAGUUGGAAGGUAUGAUUGACAUGCAAAAGAGACAAGUCAAGGAAAUUGAAGAAAAGUUCUUCUUCCUCUUUUUGUUUUUCUCUCUAGCUUUUAUUAUUGGGCCUUAAUGACACUGACACUGACCGACAUCAGGUAAUGGCACAGAGCUACGCAACCUCCCUACGCAACCUCCCUACGCAACCUCCCUAAUACUGUGUAAUAACAUUGAUGAUGACGCUGACGAUCGUUUGUCUGUUUCCUCAGGUGCUAAGGCGCUCAGGUGGAGAGUGAGGAAGAAACACACAUUUGUUUUUUUUAUGCGUUUUUUAGAUGGUUCACAAACCUUAUGUCUUUUUUGAUAAACAUGCACUUUUAACCUGGGAUGCAAAACAUAACAAAACCAUGACUUUGAAAAGUGAACAAAUACCAGAGACAUAUAAAGAGAGGUAUAUCAGUGUUUUUUUAUAGAAAGGAAGCCUCGCCUACCAUUUCUGGAAGUGGAACAAUUAGCCAAACUAACGUGAGUUCUAUAAAGCAUAAAGAUUGUGACUGGAACACUGAAGCUGGUCAAUAAGGACAACAUUGAUUGAGACAGUGCCUCAGAUGAAUUUAGAGACAGUGCCUCAGAUGAAUUUAGAGACAGUGCCUCAGAUGAAUUUAGAACCACACAACGAAAGAGUGCAAUUGGAGAGGAGGGAGAAAGAGGAGGAGAGGAAGAAGAAGGAGGAGGAAAGAUGGGGAGGGGGAAAGAAAGCAGGAGGCCUUUCUAACAGUCUAGCCAAGUCCUGGGCACUGGACAUUCCCGGAAAGCUCAGCGCCUGAGGGUCUCCAUGGAAACGGCCGUCACGGCCACGUUGAAAGGGUAAGAAGUGAAAGCUCUGAGUAGGUUCCGCAGUAGAGAGACACCAGAGGACUGAGGGAACGGGAGGAGUCUAGUCUGUGAAAGACAACAAAGAAUCUUCAGUUCUAGAGAGGUCACCCAUGAACAACAACCAUGGAGGGGAACAUGAUUACAACAGCGGGGACCGGAACCGGAGCUGACUCUGUAACCAUGGUAACAGGUCCCACUGGCACCCCGGACCUCCAGGUUCUGACCCACAGAGUGAAGCUUCUAGAGCACAGCCUGAGAGACAACGUCAGCUCCUUCACUGAGUCUGAGAGCGCUCUGCACAACAGGAUUAGAGAGUUGGAGGUGUCAGAACAGAGCCUGCUACAGAAGGUGGAGGACCUUACUGCCAACUCAGUCCUCCACUGCCCCAGCAUGCUGCAGCGCCAGAGGCUGGACGAGCGGCUCCACACGCUGAGGGAGGAGGUACGCUCCAUGUCCCAGGAGAAGGAGCGUGGGGAUCGUGUGUGGAGGGAGAGGCUGCGGCGCUGCCAGGCCCAGCUCAGGGCUAAAGAAGAGGAGAUGGGCCGCCAGUCUCAGUACUUUGAGCACUUUAAGAGCCAGCUUCACCACAAGCUAGACAUGGCCAGAGACAAGGAGCAGGGCCUUCAAACCAGACUCCACCAGCUGGAGCGACAGGUGCUGGAGAUGAACGUAUCUGCUGCCACCUACAUAGCCCCUGUCAACACAGCUAGCACCAACUCCGUUACUGCAGCCAAUGUCAAUCCCAUCAUAGUACCAACCUCAGGCCAACAGAGAACAGAGACAGAGAGACUGCCCCACCCAAGGGAGGAAGGACAAGGAGAGGAGGAGGACGGUGAGGAGAAGACACAGCGGAGACACUACGGACAACAGCUCCAGCAGAAGCAGGGAGCGGAUGAUAGAGAAAUAGAGGGAGAAAGAGAGGGGGAGGAAGAGGGUGAGAGUCUGGGGGGUGAGGCUAGACUGAGAAGCUUCAUCCUCAGCCUCCAGGAGGACCUCCGGGUUCUGCUGGAGAGGGAGGAGCAGGAGCUGGCGGAGCAGAGGGGGCUGAUGGAACAGCUGCAGGAAGCGCAGGAGAACAACCACUUCUUGUCCUGUACGUUGGAGGAGAUGAGGACGGUGGUCCACAGACUGAAGCUGACAGAGAGCUCCCUGAUGGAGGAGGUGGAGGAGCUGCAAGAGGAGAACCAGAGACUGUGUCAGAGGCUCAGCCACACCCUGAGACAGACCAACCACAGCCUGGGUUCUACUGACCCCAACCCUGUCGCUACCCCCAGCCUGGCUACCUCCCUGACAAACGCCCCUGGCCUGAGUCCGCAGAGCAGGGAACUGGUUGACAACACUGACCUGGUGAAGAUGAUCCCAGGCCAGUCUUCACUAGACACACCUCACUCUGCUCAACACCAUGGAGCAACAGAGAGGUCACAGGAAAACUCCACUCUGCCUCUGCCCCAGCCGGACCUCCUGAACCUCUCAGGCCACCGUAGCCAGAACCCCUGCCUCAUAUCCCUGGGUACUAAGAGCAUUGAGGGUCUGGGGGAGUUGACCCUGAGGGACUGGUGUCCUGGUCCUGGGGGCGUCCCCUCUCUCAACCUGGAGGAGGGGACAAGCGAGGAGACUGAGGCCCUGAGAGAGGCUUACAGGAGCAUGGGGGGCGACAUGGACUCACUCCGGGACCACAGGGACCAGCUGGAGAGCACGCUACGACACACACAGGACCAGCUGCACAGGGUGACCGAGGAGAACGCCCGACUGAAAUGUAAACUCAGGGCGCAGGGAGAAACAGGGGCCUGCGAGGUGGAGCAGGGGUCCUCGCUUGUAGGCGAGAGCAUGACAAAUGUCCAGGAAAACAAGGUGCCAACUCCAAACCUAAUACCCCAGGGGAGCAGAGAGCUCACUGCAACUCCAUAUCAGAAUGAUACUAUCCUAGCCUUAGCCCAGGAUGACCUGUCCCUGUAUGCCUUAGCCCAGGAUGACCUAGCCCUAGCCUUGAACCAGGAGAACCGGGCCCUGGGCAGGCGUAUCCAGGAGCUCCUAGCCCACAUAGAGCGCCAGGAGGGGGAGAGUGAGAGGGAGCUAGUCCAGCUCAGGCUGCAGGUGUCCCUGCUAGAGAGGGAGAGCACCAGGCUGGAGCAAGAGAACCAGGAGCAGGGAGGUCUCAUCACUGAACUGACCAGGAAGACUGAGGAUGACCUCAACACUAUCAUAGAGCUGCAGGAAAGACGGGUUGAGAGCAGUCAGCUAGGCCUACAGCAGGAGGACCGUUUGACCACGGAGUCAACGUGCAGGCUUCGAGAGAACAGGGACGAGCUGAUUGUCUAUCUCAGUGAUCUCAAAGAGGAAAGAGAACAGGUGUCCCUCUCACUUAGCAGUCAGACAGAGGAGAAACACCAGCUAACACGCUCCAUGUGGGUUCUGAAAGAAGAACGCGACCAGAUCCAUAAGUCACUCUGCGGUUUAAAAGAAGAGAAAGAACAGCUGACAAGGUCCCUCUGUGGUCUGAAAGAUGAGAGAGACAAGGUGAUGCGGUCAAUGUGUGGUUUAAAAGAGGGGAGAGACCAGCUAGUUCAGUCAAUGUCUGGACUCCAGGAGGAGAGAGACCAGCCAGUUCAGUCAAUGUCUGGACUCCAGGAGGAUAGAGACCAGCCAGUUCAGUCAAUGUCUGGACUCCAGGAGGAGAGAGACCAGCCAGUUCAGUCAAUGUCUGGACUCCAGGAGGAUAGAGACCAGCCAGUUCAGUCAAUGUCUGGACUCCAGGAGGAGAGAGACCAGCCAGUUCAGUCAAUGUCUGGACUCCAGGAGGAGAGAGACCAGCUAGUUCAGUCAAUGUCUGGACUCCAGGAGGAGAGAGACCAGCUAGUUCAGUCAAUGUCUGGACUCCAGGAGGAGAGAGACCAGCUAGUUCAGUCAAUGUCUGGACUCCAGGAGGAGAGAGACCAGCUAGUUCAGUCAAUGUCUGGACUCCAAGAGGAGAGACACCAGCCAGUUCAGUCAAUGUCUGGACUACAGGAGGAGAGAGACCAGCCAGUUCAGUCAAUGUCUGGACUCCAGGAGGAGAGAGACCAGCCAGUUCAGUCAAUGUCUGGACUACAGGAGGAGAGAGACCAGCUAGUUCAGUUAAUGUCUGGACUCCAGGAGGAGAGAGACCAGCUAGUUCAGUCAAUGUCUGGACUCCAGGAGGAGAGAGACCAGCUAGUUCAGUCAAUGUCUGGACUCCAGGAGGAGAGAGACCAGCUAGUUCAGUCAAUGUCUGGACUCCAGGAGGAGAGAGACCAGCUAGUUCAGUCAAUGUCUGGACUCCAGGAGGAGAGAGACAAGCUCUCGCAGUCAAUGUCUGGACUCCAGGAGGAGAGAGACCAGCUAGUUCAGUCAAUGUCUGGACUCCAGGAGGAGAGAGACCAGCUAGUUCAGUCAAUGUCUGGACUCCAGGAGGCGAGAGACCAGCUAGUUCAGUCAAUGUCUGGACUACAGGAGGAGAGAGACCAGCUAGUUCAGUCAAUGUCUGGACUCCAGGAGGAGAGAGACCAGCUAGUUCAGUCAAUGUCUGGACUCCAGGAGGAGAGAGACAAGCUCUCGCAGUCUCUCUUCAGCCAAAAAGAUGAGAGAGACCAGUUGAUGCAGUCAAUGUGUGGUUUAAAGGGACAGAGGGACCAGCUAACACAGACACUCAGCCGUCUAGAGCAGGAGAGAGACAAGCUGUCAUCUCUCAGUCUUCAAACACGAGAGAGGUACCAGGUGGACCAGUUUGUCUCUGAUCUAAAAGAAGAGAAGGAGCAGCUAGUUCAGUCAAUGGAUGUUCUGAGAGAACAGAGAGAACAGCUCACAGAGGAGAGAGACCAGUUGCAGAUGGACGUCGCUACUCUACGGAAUCAGCUGCUGUUACAGGGGUGGAGCCACAACCAGCAGCCCUCAGAGAACCAUGUUGGCAAGGCAACACGCACAGAGGUUGUGGCUACAGAGAGAGGGGGUCAGAUGCCAAAAACGCAUGAUGAUGGUGAUGUCACUCAUAGAUGCCUGGCCACGGUCUACUCCUACAAGACCAUCCGUCUGGCGCAGUCUGCACAGGACCAUUUGGGAGAGAAAGAGGGAACAGAUGUGGAGCAGAGUGGACUGAUGAGGGAGAUCGAGUCGCUGGGGUUAGAACUCAGAAGCUCACGAGAGGUACUGAAGAAGACCCAAUCAGAGGCUCAAAGGUGGUACCGUGAGCUGGGUGUGUCUGAGGUCAGACGAGAGGAGGCUGAGAAGAGGGCGGGAAAGGCAGCCAAUGAGGUGAAGAGGGCGGUACAGGCAGCAAAUGAGGUGAAGAGGGCGGUACAGGCAGCCAAUGAGGUGGGGAUGAGAGAGGAAACCAAGGAGGUGGAGGAGAUGAAGAGGGAAAACCACACACUGAGAGCAGAGUUGGGAGAGGUGAAGAGCAGACUAGUGGGUCUGGAGAGAGAGAAGACCGAUGCUCACUCACUAAGGAUCAAGAUCGAAGAGAAGUUCAGCUUGCUUCAGGCUGAACUCAAAGCCAAGAGUGUUGCUCUGAAGGAGCUGAGUUCAGAGUACACAUCUCUGAAGAGAGAGCAGGGCAGCAGAGAGGACUGGAGCAACACACUCACCUUACUGAGGGUGCGCUAUGAUGACAUCAGAGCUAAGUACAACGUUCUCCUGAGAAAGAGUCAGACGGACCAGGACAUAGCUCCUCUAAAGGCCAAGCUGUCAUGUCUCGUGGGGAAGUGCCAGCAGAGGAACAGUCUACUGGUGCAGUUGAUGCGAGCCCUGCGUCGGUAUGGCUGCCUGGACUACAAUCUGACCCAGGAGGCUGAGGACCUGCUUAACGACACAGCGCUGCAGGACUACGCCAGCACCUUCACACCCCCAUCCGCUGCAGCUCUGCAGGAGAACACCCCCCUUCUCCCACCUGCAGCCUCAGAACGACCGGAGCGCUCACAGACCUCUGCUGCAGCCUCCACAGCACAGCUUCCCCUUUCUGCGGGUGAAUCAGUCCAAGUCACUGGACUCCCAGACAGACGUGGGAUGUACCAUGCCGAGGUGAAAGGGAAGUCUGGCCUGGUCCCUGCCCGUUUCUUAGAGGAGAAUGGGAGACCACUCAUCCUGACUUCCCCCUCGCCAGAGAGAUGUGCCAGUCUGACUAGGAAGCUGACCAGUCCAGGGAAGAUCAUCAACCUUCACCAGCAGUUGCAGAACACUCUCUCCAACAGCUACCAGGUUUUCCCUUCCAAGACCAGCCCCCAGGUUUACUCCAGUCCCCCUUCAGGACAGGGGUACUCCCCAGGAUACCCCAACCACAACCUUGCUUUUCCCAACCGACCCAAGCAUACCCUUGUAGCAACUACCCCUAUUAUUACUACUACUAGUCUCCUAUCUACCACUGCCCCCACUAAAACUACCAGUGAUGGUGCUACCUCUCCUAAGCAGACACCAAACAGAGCACAUCCAACUACCAACCCCCCUGUCCACACCACCACCACCACCACUACUGCCCUUAGCAGUGGUAAAGAACCCCUCUCUAAAACUGGCUCUAUUGCUGCUACCUCCAAUGUUACAACCCCUGUUAAUACCCCUCCUACCGCUGUGGCCCAGACUGUUAAAGCACAAACUACCACUGCCUUGUGGAACACUGCCCCCACCAAAUCUGCCCCUCCAACUAUUACCGCUGGAACUACAGCCCCCACCAAAAUGGCCCCUAUCACUACUGCUCUUUCCCUUGCUGAGUUGUCACGACUGCCUGAUGAGGACCAUUGCAUCAAGAAGCCCCUCGCCAUCCUCCAACCUGAACAAGCUAAGCCAACCAAACCCAGAGCUAUACCAGAACCUCCAGCUGAGGUGGGCUCUGUUGAGGUCCUCAGGACUGUGGGACAGAGCAGCCUCAUGAUUGGUUGGGAGAGACCGCCACUGGAUGAGCUGGGCUGCAGCAACGGAACCUUUGUGUAUGGAUACAUGAUCUAUGUAGAAGGGGAGUUCCACAAGUCUGUCAUGAGCUCUGCAUGCACGAAGUGUAUUCUGGAGAAUCUGGAUCUGUCCGGUCCGGUCCACAUCAGUGUUCAGACCCUGGGCUCCAACGGUCUCUAUGCGGAGAAGGUCCUCCUCAUCUACAGGGGAAAACACACCCAGUUUAGGACAGAUCACACCCGUGUCAACACAGCUUCUGCUGCUCCCUUCACAGACCCUGCCUACCUAGACUGCAGGACUCCGCCCACACACCGACACAGUGGCUCCACCCAACCAUUUGUGGCCAUCUACAACUACAACCCUCUGAAGGACAGUCCUAACCUCCACCCCAGCAGAGAGCUGGCCCUGAGAGAGGGAGACACCGUCAUGCUGCUAGGCAACCCACGCAACGACGGCUUCUGUCAGGCCGAGGUGAAUGGCAGACGAGGUCUGGCUCCUGUGGCGUUACUAGAGGAAGUUCCUGUUCCAGACAGACAUGUAAGCUCCGCCCCUCCCCAAUCUUCUCCUGAGAGAGGACCAGAUGAUAGGCCACUGCGCCUGCCAAUCAGAGAGAGAACAAGAUGGGCCGCUGUGACUGUCAAUCAGUGAGAAAUCAAGAUGAUGGGCCACUGUAGCUGCCAAUCAAAGAAUGCUUACCCACAGAGAGAGAUUAUAGUGGCCAGAGUUAAUGACAUAAUCAAACACUGCCUGCCUGUGACACAAACGUUCAUAAGUGCUCGCUGCCUAAAGUCAUUUGAAAUGGAAGGCUACAGUAGAGCACCAGCCAAAUGUGGGAAGUUAUGUGGCCCAGUUUUACAUUGUGCUUCGAUAGACAGUUCCUUAUAACCUACAUAAUACUCACUGAGAUUGUGUCUAAUCACCUCUAACUGUCACCUCUAUCAAAAUUCUCUCUAUUCACCUCUAUCAAAAUCCCCAGUGUUCUGUGUGUGUAAUCUCUCGUGGACAGACGCACGUAACAUAGCUGGUAUUGUAGUGUCUGUCAACAGACAGUGGGAUGCAACGACUAUCAAGGAACUGAAAACAUGAAACAUCACUGAUCAUUUUGGACAAAUCACAAUUUCGCAUAUUUCGGAAGGGGAGGGGACAUUUGGCCCAUAGACUUGCCUGUAACUUGCAAAGGGGGGUGGAGCUACUGUCCUGCUUCCACUGCUUGCUCUAGUCUCUUUUCAAACACAUCUUCCCCCAGAAAAUAAUUCAGUAUCUAACGCAAUUACGCAAGAUUGUAAUUCUGGAUUUCCAAGAUUAUUCUGUAUGUGACAAAAAGAUGUCAAAAAGGUCAAAGGUCGGCCUAAUGGAUCUGACAACCUGUCUGACAACCUGUCUGAUAUCAAGUGCGUUCAUGGUAAUAAAGCUAUGCCAUUUUACUGGAUCUUUUUUCAAGCCAAAUAGGAAAAAAGGAGGUCCAUACCAAAGACUUGGAUAUUUCAGUUCUUUGUCGUUAUACACUGAACAAAAAUAUAAAUGCAAAAUGUAAAGUGUUGGUCCCAUGUUUCAUGAGUUGAAAUGAAAGAUCUCGGAAAUGUACCAUUCACAUAAAAAAUCAUAUUUCUCUCUAAUUUGGUGCACAAAUUUGUUUUACAUCCCUGUUUGUGAGCAUUUCUCUUUUGGCAAGAUAAUCCAUCCACCUGACAGGUGUGGCAUAUCAAGAAGAUGAUUAAACAGCAUGGUCAUUACACAGGUGCACCUUGUGCUAGGGACAAUAAAAGGCCACACUAAAAUGUGCAGUUUUGUCACACAACGCAAUGCCACAGAUGUCUCAAAUUUUGAGGGAGCACGCAAUUGGCCUGCUGACUGCAGGAAUGUCCACCAGAGCUGUUUCCAGAGAAUUCAAUGUUAAUUUCUCUACCAUAAGCUGCCUCCAACAUUGUUUUAGAGAAAUUGGCAGUACGUCUAACCGGCCUCACAACCGCAGACCAUGUGUAACCACGCCAGCCCAAGACCUCCACAUCUGGCUUCUACACCUGCAGUAUCAUCUGAGACCAGCCACCCGGACAGCUGAUGAAAGUGUGGGCAUGCACAUCCAAAGACUUUCUGCACAAACUGUCAGAAACCGUCUCGGAAGCUCAUCCGCAUGCUCAUCGUCCCCACCAGAGUCUUGACCUGACAGCAGUUCGGUGUUGUAACAGACUUCAGUGUGCAAAAGCUCACCUUCGAUGGCCACUGGCAUACUGGAGAACUGUGCUCUUCCCGGAUCCCGGUUUCAACUGUACAAGGCAGAUGGCAGAAAGUGUGUAUGGCGUUAUGUGGGCGUGCGGAUGGCUGAUGUCAAUGUUGGGGGGUUAUGGUAUGGCGGUGGGAUUAUGGUAUGGGCAGGUGGCAGUGGUGUUAUAGUAUGGGCAGGCAUAAGCUACGGACAACAAACACAAGUGCAUUUUAUCUAUGGCAGUUUGCAUGCACAGAGAUACCGUGACGAGAUUCUGAUGCCCAUUGUUGUGCCAUUCAUCCACCGCCAUCACCUCAUGUUUCAGCAUGAUAAUGCACAGCCCCAUGUCGCAAGGAUCUGUACACAAUUCCUGGAAGCUGGAAAUGUCCCAGUUCUUCCAUGACCUGCAUAUUUACCAGAGAUGUCACCCAUGGAGCAUGUUUGGGAUGCUCUGGAUUGACGUGCACGACAGUGUGUUCCAGUUCUCGCCAAUAUCCAGCAACUUUGCACAGCCAUUGAAGAGGAGUGGGACAACAUUUCACAGGCCACAAUCAACAGCCUGAUCAACUCUAUGCGAAGGAGAUGUGUCACGCUGCAUGAGCCAAAUGGUGGUCACACUAGAUACUGACUGGUUUCCUGAUCUACUCCCCUACUUUCUUAAAGGUAUCUGUGACCAACAGAUGCAUAUCUGUAUUCCCAGUCAUGUAAAAUAAAUAGAUUAGGGCCUAAUUAAUUUAUUUCAAUUGACUGAUUUCCUUAUAUGAACUGUAACUGUAAAAUCAUAGAAAUUGUUGCGUGCUGCAUUUAUAUUUUUGUUUAGUGUAUUUACAAAAGCCAAUCAUGGUUGAUCAUGGUUGUUCAUCGAAUCAUGAAUUUGAUUGAAGUCUGAGAUGUUCUACUGUAGAAUCUAAUCACUCGAUGAAGUCAUGUCAUUCAGAUGGAUAGAAGUUUAUCACGGAGAUAUAUUUUUUGAGAGGAUUAAAGAACUGGAGGUAUGCCAUUGGGAUGAACAGUACUGUAUGUGUGGCUGUGGGUAUCAGUCUCCUUUCAUUUCCUCAGUCUCUGUCUACAGUCUAAAUGAAGUUAAUAACCUUUUACUUUUCUGUUCUGAUCUGAAAUAGAGACAAUACAUUCUGUGUGAGACACAUGACUACUGCAUACUUGUCCUUCCUCUGAUUGUGGGAAAAGCCAUGGGGCCACAAAUGUAUUUUUGUAUCACUCUGUGCAUUUGAUGUAAUUUGAUUUCCUAAUGAUUUCUUUAGACUGUAUUAAGAGAAUAAAUGUUUAGAUGACAUCAGAUAUAGUAGUAUGUCCUGUAUUUUCCGGAUUAUACUGCGGUGUACAAUCUUGAUUUUACGGCUAGAGGGCAGUCAUUGCAAACUUUCCAACAUGCUACUCUCAAUAGCCAAAUAAAUCUAUGGGUAUAUGUGUUUUUAUCUCCUCUCCUCUCUGUUUAGGGACUAUUGAGCAACUCUCUUCCCCCCCAUGGGAUGCAGAUAAUUGUAUAUCAAAACUCCCACUGUGUGUUGCGUACAAACACUUACAGUGAGGGGGAAAAGUAUUUGAUCCCCUGCUGAUUUUGUACGUUUGCCCACUGACAAAGAAAUGAUCAGUGUAUAAUUUGAAUGGUAGGUUUAUUUGAAC
rnacentral:lncRNA from 1 species